rnacentral:rRNA from 1 species
GACAGAGGGUGCAAACGUUGUUCGGAAUUACUGGGCGUAAAGAGCUCGUAGGCGGUUUGUUGCGUCGGCUGUGAAAUCCCGAGGCUCAACCUCGGGUCUGCAGUCGAUACGAGCAAACUAGAGUGUUGCAGGGGAGACUGGAAUUCCUGGUGUAGCGGUGAAAUGUGCAGAUAUCAGGAGGAACACCGGUGGCGAAGGCGGGUCUCUGGGCAACAACUGACGCUGAGGAGCGAAAGCGUGGGGAGCGAACAGG